GAAUUUCUAGUGUAGAGGUGAAAUUCGUAGAUAUUAGAAAGAAUACCAAUUGCGAAGGCAGCUUUCUGGAUCAUUACUGACACUGAGGAACGAAAGCAUGGGUAGCGAAGAGGAUUAGAUACCCUCGUAGUCCAUGCCGUAAACGAUGUGUGUUAGACGUUGGAAAUUUAUUUUCAGUGUCGCAGCGAAAGCGAUAAACACACCGCCUGGGGAGUACGACCGCAAGGUUAAAACUCAAAUGAAUUGACGGGGACCCGCACAAGUAGUGGAGCAUGUGGUUUAAUUCGAAGAUACGCGCAGAACCUUACCAACACUUGACAUGUUCGUCGCGACUUUAAGAGAUUAAAGUUUUCGGUUCGGCCGGACGAAACACAGGUGCUGCAUGGCUGUCGUCAGCUCGUGUCGUGAGAUGUUGGGUUAAGUCCCGCAACGAGCGCAACCCUCACUUUUAGUUGCCAUCAUUUAGUUGGGCACUCUGAAAGAACUGCCAGUGAUAAGCUGGAGGAAGGUGGGGAUGACGUCAAGUCCUCAUGGCCCUUACGUGUUGGGCUACACACGUGCUACAAUGGUAUCUACAACAGGAAGCAAAACAGCGAUGUUAAGCAAAUCCUUAAAAGAUACCUCAGUUCGGAUUGCACUCUGCAACUCGAGUGCAUGAAGCUGGAAUUACUAGUAAUCGUGGAUCAGCGUGCCACGGUGAAUGCGUUCCCGGGUCUUGUACACACCGCCCGUCACACCAUGGGAGUUGGUUCUACCUUAAGGCAAGGUUUAAUACCCUUGACCACGGUAUAGUCAGCGACUGGGGUGAAGUCGUAACAAGGUAGCCGUAGGGGAACCUGCGGCUG
rnacentral:rRNA from 1 species